rnacentral:rRNA from 1 species
GACGGGGGCCCGCACAAGCGGUGGAGCAUGUGGUUUAAUUCGAUGAUACGGCGAGGAACCUUACCUGGGCUCAAAUGUAUGUUGACGUAUUCUGAAAGGGAUACUUCUUCGGACAAUAUACAAGGUGCUGCAUGGUUGUCGUCAGCUCGUGCCGUGAGGUGUCGGGUUAAGUCCCAUAACGAGCGCAACCCCUAUCAUUAGUUGCCAUCAGGUCAAGCUGGGGACUCUAAUGGAACUGCCUACGCAAGUAGUGAGGAAGGCGGGGAUGACGUCAAAUCAGCACGGCCCUUACGUCCAGGGCUACACACGUGCUACAAUGGCCGAUACAGAGGGCAGCUACCUGGUGACAGGAUGCAAAUCUCCAAAGUCGGUCUCAGUUCGGAUCGGAGUCUGCAACCCGACUCCGUGAAGUUGGAUUCGCUAGUAAUCGCGCAUCAGCCAUGGCGCGGUGAAUACGUUCCCGGGCCUU